rnacentral:misc_RNA from 1 species
GGAGGAAGAAGAAGAAGAAAGAGAUGAAGCACAAUAAUCAAAGUAGUGAUUUUUCCUAAAUGGUUCUCUCUGACGAAGUCAGCUUGAGGAGGGCAUAUGAAGCAUUACAUGUUUCCAAGCUUCUAAAGGCCUUGAGAAAAUACAAUUCAAGUUGCAAGAAUAUGUUGCUACAUCUAGAAAUGCUGCUGGCAGUGGGAGAGUACAGCAUCUUGUCGACCUCUAAAAUACUCAUGCAACACAUGAUAAUUGUGCAAGAAUAUAUGUGAAAUUCUGUAUCACAUGCAUGCAGCACAUGUACUAAUGCAUUGUACAAGAUCAAAAUUGAAACAAGCUACCUAUUUAAAAAACAAAAAGAAAAAAAUUCAACAACCACAUAGUCACAGUAAUAGGUGAGCAAACAAAAUGGGAAGGAACUAAUCAUAUAAGAAAGCAAGCCUGCUUCUUUUGAUAAGAAAAUGGAAUACGCAAGGCAUUGAUUUACAAAAAAUGAGAUACUGUAAUAGCAGAAUUGCCCAACAUGCAAAAAAUGGCAUGAGGGACACAAACUAGAAACAAUUAAGAGGAACAUUAGAUUGAUAAACAUUGCACACUUCAAUGCACAUAUAAUUGACAGAGGCUGACCUGAAGUUCCUGCUCACAACUCUUAAGUCUUUCAGAGUUUUCUUUAACUUGCAGAAAACAUUUAUGCAGCUUGGUCAAUUGCAUCUUAUUGUGUGAAGUGCGCUUCUUUGCAGCAAUCAAUGCAUCCUCCAGUUU